UAGAAUGUGGUGUAAUGGUAGCACGGAGAGUUUUGAUUUCUCAGGUUUAGGUUCGAGUCCUACGGUUCUAG
rnacentral:tRNA from 1 species